rnacentral:rRNA from 1 species
CAAUAGCGUAUAUUAAAGUUGUUGCGGUUAAAAAGCUCGUAGUUGGAUUUCUGCUGAGGACGACCGGUCCGCCCUCUGGGUGAGUAUCUGGCUUGGCCUUGGCAUCUUCUUGGAGAACGUAGCUGCACUUGACUGUGUGGUGCGGUAUCCAGGACUUUUACUUUGAGGAAAUUAGAGUGUUCACGGCAGGCAAUCGCCCUGAAUAUAUUAGCAUGGAAUAAUGAUAUAGGACCUUGGUUCUAUUUUGUUGGUUUCUAGGACUAAGGUAAUGAUUAAUUAGGGACAAUUGGGGGCAUUCGUAUUAACGCGUCAGAGGUGGAAUUCUUAGAUUGCGUUACGACGAACUACUGCGAAAGCAUUUGCCAAGGAUGUUUUCAUUGAUCAAGAACGAAAGUAAGGGGAUCGAAGAUGAUUAGAU